rnacentral:rRNA from 1 species
AGUUUGAUCCUGGCUCAGAUUGAACGCUGGCGGAAUGCUUUACACAUGCAAGUCGAACGGCAGCACGGGUGCUUGCACCUGGUGGCGAGUGGCGAACGGGUGAGUAAUGCGUCGGAACGUACCGAGUAAUGGGGGAUAACGCGGCGAAAGUCGCGCUAAUACCGCAUACGCCCUGAGGGGGAAAGUGGGGGAUCGCGAGACCUCACGUUAUUCGAGCGGCCGACGUCUGAUUAGCUAGUUGGUGGGGUAAAGGCCUACCAAGGCGACGAUCAGUAGCGGGUCUGAGAGGAUGAUCCGUCACACUGGGACUGAGACACGGCCCAGACUCCUACGGGAGGCAGCAGUGGGGAAUUUUGGACAAUGGGGGCAACCCUGAUCCAGCCAUUCCGCGUGAGUGAAGAAGGCCUUCGGGUUGUAAAGCUCUUUCAGCUGGAAAGAAACGGUAGAGGUUAAUAACCUUUGCUAAUGACGGUACCAGCAGAAGAAGCACCGGCUAACUACGUGCCAGCAGCCGCGGUAAUACGUAGGGUGCGAGCGUUAAUCGGAAUUACUGGGCGUAAAGCGUGCGCAGGCGGAUUGUUAAGCAAGAUGUGAAAUCCCCGGGCUUAACCUGGGAAUGGCAUUUUGAACUGGCAGUCUAGAGUGCGUCAGAGGGGGGUGGAAUUCCACGUGUAGCAGUGAAAUGCGUAGAUAUGUGGAGGAACACCAAUGGCGAAGGCAGCCCCCUGGGAUGACACUGACGCUCAUGUACGAAAGCGUGGGUAGCAAACAGGAUUAGAUACCCUGGUAGUCCACGCCCUAAACGAUGUCAACUGGUUGUUGGGGGAGUGAAAUCCCUUAGUAACGAAGCUAACGCGUGAAGUUGACCGCCUGGGGAGUACGGUCGCAAGAUUAAAACUCAAAGGAAUUGACGGGACCCGCACAAGCGGUGGAUGAUGUGGAUUAAUUCGAUGCAACGCGAAAACCUUACCUACCCUUGACAUGUCCAGAAUCCUGCAGAGAUGCGGGAGUGCCCGGAAGGGAUUGCACACAGUGCUGCAUGGCUGUCGUCAGCUCGUGUCGUGAGAUGUUGGGUAGUCCGGCACGAGCGCACCCUAUGCUAGGUGCAUCAUAAGUGGCACUCUAGUGAGACUGCGGAACAUUCGAGAAGCGUUGCGCAUUGGACGUUCAGUCAUCAUGCCCUUAGUUUCUGGGGCCUACACACACCGGUGUUG